rnacentral:rRNA from 1 species
GACGAACGCUGGCGGCGUGCUUAACACAUGCAAGUCGAACGGAAAGGCCCUGCUUUUGUGGGGUGCUCGAGUGGCGAACGGGUGAGUAACACGUGAGUAACCUGCCCUUGACUUUGGGAUAACUUCAGGAAACUGGGGCUAAUACCGGAUAGGAGCUCCUGCUGCAUGGUGGGGGUUGGAAAGUUUCGGCGGUUGGGGAUGGACUCGCGGCUUAUCAGCUUGUUGGUGGGGUAGUGGCUUACCAAGGCUUUGACGGGUAGCCGGCCUGAGAGGGUGACCGGCCACAUUGGGACUGAGAUACGGCGCAGACGCCUACGGGAGGCAGCAGUGGGGAAUAUUGCACAAUGGGCGGAAGCCUGAUGCAGCAACGCCGCGUGCGGGAUGACGGCCUUCGGGUUGUAAACCGCUUUCGCCUGUGACGAAGCGUGAGUGACGGUAAUGGGUAAAGAAGCACCGGCUAACUACGU